rnacentral:rRNA from 1 species
CCUUGACGGUACCUAACCAGAAAGCCACGGCUAACUACGUGCCAGCAGCCGCGGUAAUACGUAGGUGGCAAGCGUUGUCCGGAAUUAUUGGGCGUAAAGGGCUCGCAGGCGGUUUCUUAAGUCUGAUGUGAAAGCCCCCGGCUCAACCGGGGAGGGUCAUUGGAAACUGGGAAACUUGAGUGCAGAAGAGGAGAGUGGAAUUCCACGUGUAGCGGUGAAAUGCGUAGAGAUGUGGAGGAACACCAGUGGCGAAGGCGACUCUCUGGUCUGUAACUGACGCUGAGGAGCGAAAGCGUGGGGAGCGAACAGGAUUAGAUACCCUGGUAGUCCACGCCGUAAA